GCCCGCAGGGCGUGCGGCCACAGGGCUGGCAGCGCCCGUGCGGGGCAGCUGUGCCGCCUGGGGCCGCCACAGCCUCCUCUGUGCUUCCAGUGAUCUUCGGCGGAACCUGAAGAGGCAGCAGGAAGAGCUCCAGCUCAAGCCGUCAGGCCCUUCAAGCAGCCAGCAAAGACAACAGCCCAUCCUGCUCCAACCUGCAUAUUCAAGCUAAGUUUUGCCAAGGAGCUGCAGAACUAAGGUCAUCUUCCAAACUGAGAGAACCAAUGUCCCUAGAAGAGGACCAUGAGACCCAGAAGGGAACACCUCCCCACCUCAUAGUGCCGCUGGAGCUCCAGGCUUAGCUGAUGCUGAUCCCUCCCUCUGGCUCUCAGAGCCUAGCCAUCCCCUUUAUUUCCUCCCAGCCUACUCCACUGCUUUGCUUUCAUUUAAUAAACUCUUUGGCUUCUUCACUUUA